rnacentral:lncRNA from 1 species
GCGAAAAAUUAAAACAGAUUUCGAUUUCCACCAGGAAUCUCUGUGUUUAGAUAGAAAUUAUGAAAAGAUUGUACAUUUUCCAGAUCUACAAACUUCUUUGCUAUUCUUUUCGUUCCAGCAAUCUUGAUUCCCUAUCCACAGCUGUCCAAUUGUCCAGACUCUAAUGGUAAUCCACAUAGAGAACAGAUUAUAGCUACUAGGGUUUUCUCCUCUUGUGCUAACAAGAAAAAUUAUGAGAAAAACUGUAUGAAUUGAAAAUCCUAGCCAUGUAUUUAUACAAGCCCAAGCGGGCUUGGCAUGGUCUGAUCCAAUAUUUAAUUAAUCCAUUUAAUUAAAUUCAGUCCGUGAAUUAAGUAAUCCAAUUAAUUAAUUCGGGCUUAUAAAUAGCUAACUCAAUUAAUUAAUUUAUCCUACGAUUGUUAAAUUAAUUAAUUGACAAAUUGCAAUCUUCCAAUUCUCUUUUGUAUGCGACCCAUCAGGUUCCCGAUCACGAUACUUAACGACGUGAAAUAUUAUUUUGAUCUAUUCAAAAUUAAUAAAUUAAAACACAUUUUUAAUUUAUCUCCAAUCACACUCGCCCUCCCAGAUUGACAUCUAGCAAUGUGUCAGGGCAAUACAUGUAACGGGAAAUGUCACGUGGUAUGACAAAAUCAAACUCGUUCGUUUACCGUGAAACUAUAAUCCAUUCGUCAAUAUGAUCCGAUCAAUUCGAGAUAUGAAAGUGUGGUAAUCUCUAUUAUCGAUUAUAUCUUUCACUAAACUAUUAAGCCAAUAUAAGUCGAAAACUCCUUUUCGACUUAUGAGUACACG